rnacentral:rRNA from 1 species
AUGAAUACCUUGUUCUGGAACUGCCGGGGAGGAGGGGACCGCCGGACAGUUCGUGAGGUUUUGGCCCUCUCAAAAGCCAACAACCCCAAGCUAGUUUUCCUUUGUGAAACUAGACAAGUAUCAGCUAAAGUGGAGAAGUUACAUUGGAGAUUCGGUCUGAAAGGAUUUCAUGGCGUGGAUAGUGAUGGUAGAAGUGGUGGCUUGGUACUUUUCUAGGAUGAAUCUUUG